AGUGAACGCUGGCGGUAGGCCUAACACAUGCAAGUCGAACGGCAGCACAGUAAGAGCUUGCUCUUACGGGUGGCGAGUGGCGGACUGGUGAGGAAUACAUCGGAAUCUACUUUUUCGUGGGGGAUAACGUAGGGAAACUUACGCUAAUACCUCAUACGACCUACGGGUGAAAGCAGGGGAUCUUCGGACCUUGCGCGAUUGAAUGAGCCGAUGUCGGAUUAGCUAGUUGGCGGGGUAAAGGCCCACCAAGGCGACGAUCCGUAGCUGGUCUGAGAGGAUGAUCGGCCACACUGGAACUGAGACACGGUCCAGACUCCUACGGGAGGCAGCAGUGGGGAAUAUUGGACAAUGGGCGCAAGCCUGAUCCAGCCAUACCGCGUGGGUGAAGAAGGCCUUCGGGUUGUAAAGCCCUUUUGUUGGGAAAGAAAAGCAGCAGGUUAAUACCCCGCUGUUCUGACGGUACCCAAAGAAUAAGCACCGGCUAACUUCGUG
rnacentral:rRNA from 1 species